GGUAGCGACACCGGCCACCGAAAUAUAAACUGCAGUAGAGUUGGGUCGAAACCGAAACUAUAUGCCGCAGUCGUAUACUUGUCUGAUCCAAAGCCACAGCCAAUCCAAAGUCCAAUCCAAAGCCACAAGCAGCUUCUGGAGUCUGGAUUCUUUUCCGUCCCGUCCGUGCAGACAAAGGCCUGUUUGAACCUUCAACGUGCGUGGGUCAAAUGAUUGUUCAGGAAGUCUGUAUGAUGACGAAAAAACUGCAGGUGACUAGAAGCUGCCGAUGAGCUGCCAGUCCGGAUGGCAGCUAUCAACACGGCAAGGACCUGCAGGCGCAUCAGCUCUCCUCCCGUUCCUCUACUGCCAUUGGAGACAGGAUGCUUUGUAAAAGUGGGAGCUCAGGAAGGUGGCACUGUGCACAGAGGGACAGAGUGGCUGACACUGAGCUGCCCAAGACAACCUGCUGGCUCUCGUGACCAUCUCCGAAUGCCUCUGGAUGGGCUAAUUGACAGGCGUGCCUGGACAUUUAUAAACGGCUGCUCUUAUAUGCACCAUGAAGAUAUCGAAGAGGUCUCCAAUUGAAGGACAACUAUAA
rnacentral:lncRNA from 1 species